ACAGGUUGAAGACACGAUAUCGAUAGAAUACAUAGAUAACCGAUUGCUAUAUCACGACUUGGAACAAGGCUCAAUAAACCCUUUGUCUUUUUUCCUAUUUAACUUAUUGAUUAAUUUUGUAAUUACGUAAUGUGAACAAAGUAGGAUUCAACCGAAAUUAUUGUGGAACGACAUGUAAAACAUUCAAACUUACAAACAGCAGAUUUGAAAUAACCCAAAGAAUAAUUGACGAAAAUGAAGGUAUUUGUGUUUGUGUUACUAGCCAUUGUAUUGGUGACAGUUGAAAGUCGACGAGGCGGACCAAAAAAGGGACC